rnacentral:rRNA from 1 species
UACUAAGGGGGCUAGCGAUGUUCGGAAGCACUGGGCGUAAAGCGCACGCAGGCGGAUCGAUAAGUCGGGGGUGAAAGCCCGGGGCUCAACCUCGGAAUUGCCUUCGAUACUGUCGGUCUCGAGUCCGGGAGAGGUGAGUGGAAUUCCUAGUGAAGAGGUGAAAUUCGUAGAUAUUAGGAAGAACACCAGUGGCGAAGGCGGCGCACUGGCCCGGUACUGACGGUCAGGUGCGAAAGCGUGGGGAGCAAACAGG